rnacentral:rRNA from 1 species
UACGGGGGGGGGCAAGCGUUGUUCGGAAUUACUGGGCGUAAAGGGCUCGUAGGUGGCCAACUAAGUCAGACGUGAAAUCCCUCGGCUUAACCGGGGAACUGCGUCUGAUACUGGAUGGCUGGAGUUUGGGAGAGGGAUGCGGAAUUCCAGGUGUAGCGGUGAAAUGCGUAGAUAUCUGGAGGAACACCGGUGGCGAAGGCGGAUCCUCGAGGCC